AGUGGGGAAUAUUGCACAAUGGGGGAAACCCUGAUGCAGCAACGCCGCGUGAGUGAUGACGGUCUUCGGAUUGUAAAGCUCUGUCUUCAGGGACGAUAAUGACGGUACCUGAGGAGGAAGCCACGGCUAACUACGUGCCAGCAGCCGCGGUAAUACGUAGGUGGCAAGCGUUGUCCGGAUUUACUGGGCGUAAAGGGAGCGUAGGCGGACUUUUAAGUGGGAUGUGAAAUACCCGGGCUCAACCUGGGUGCUGCAUUCCAAACUGGAAGUCUAGAGUGCGGGAGAGGAGAGUGGAAUUCCUAGUGUAGCGGUGAAAUGCGUAGAGAUUAGGAAGAACACCAGUGGCGAAGGCGACUCUCUGGACCGUAACUGACGCUGAGGCUCGAAAGCGUGGGGAGCAAA
rnacentral:rRNA from 1 species